rnacentral:sRNA from 1 species
GGAUAUCCAGCCGGAUAUUAGUGCUUUA